rnacentral:tRNA from 1 species
GGCCUCGUAGCUCAGUUGGUUAGAGCGUUGACAGUAAUACUGCAUUCCCCUUGCUGGUGUGGGUUCGAAUCCCACCGAGGCCA